CAGCAGCCACGGUAAUACGUAGGGUGCAAGCGUUAAUCGGAAUUACUGGGCGUAAAGCGUGCGCAGGCGGUUAUUCAAGACAGAUGUGAAAUCCCCGGGCUCAACCUGGGAACUGCAUUUGAUACGUGCUGUCUAGAGUGAGGAAGAGGGUCGUGGAAUUCCCAGUGUAGAGGUGAAAUUCGUAGAUAUUGGGAAGAACACCGGUGGCGAAGGCGGCGACCUGGUCCUUGACUGACGCUGAGGCGCGAAAGCAUGGGGAGCAAGCAGGAUUAGAUACCCCCGUAGUCCCUGUCUCUUAUAC
rnacentral:rRNA from 1 species